GUCUCCCCAAACGGUCACUCUAGCGGCCACUUUGAACAACAACAGCACGCGUCGCGUCUCUCCGCCUUUCUCCUUUAUUUUUUUUACACUCUCCUGACAUUACACACGAUUCCGUGUCGCGCGUGAUUGGCAACAAAAUAAAGAUAGAAAAAACAUAGUGUGCGCGGUGUGACAGCCACAGAAAACAACAGUUAAAAACAUCCAGACACAAAAUUUCAAAAGGAGAAGCAGACACCAGCGAGUAAUCCAAAAGGCAGGACCUUCGCACGAGAGAGCAGAAAGGAUCGAGUGAACUGAUCAACGGGACACAGGGUGACAUGUGGAGUCCGACGCACUGCAGUGUAACGGUGCAGCGAGCGCGGGGCCUGCUGACGAAGGGCAAGAAUGGCACCAACAACUGCUUCGUCACCAUUGCCCUGGGCAAGGAGAAGUACCAGACGUCCGUCAAGGACAAGGCCGAACCGGCCGUCAACUGGAACGAGGAGUGCGAACUGAAAAUCCCCGAUCAGGGCAACCGCGCAGAGCUCACUCUGACCUGCCUGCACCGGAACAAUCUGGGCAUGGAUGAGUUCCUGGGCCAGGCCACGCUGCCCCUGAACGAGAUGGACGUGUACGAUCGGCCGCGCGCCAAGUGGUUCAAGCUGGAGAGCAAGCCCGGCAAGGAGAAGAAGAACAAGGAGCGCGGCGAGCUGGAGGUGCGCAUCGCCUUUGUGGUCAAGUCCGGGUCGCUGACCGAUCUCAGCAAGAAGGACAAGCACAAGUCUUCCAUUGGCCAGCUGGCCAGUUCGGUGGGCGGCAGCCUGCUGUCCAUCGGCAAUGGCGACAAGCGGCGCGGCAUCAAGAAGCUGGCCGGAUCGCUCAGCUCCAAGCUGCACAUUCGCAGCAAGAAGAAGGAGGCGGGCGCCGACGACAGCAGCUCCUUCGGCGGCUCCUUUGCCAGCUUGGGCACGCCGAACAGUUCGACGGGCCGCGGCCAGAACGGCGGCAGCGGACGGCGAAGAGGCGGCCAGCGGGCGGGCGAGGCCGAUCCCGGCGUGAUCAGCGAGGACGAGGACGAGUUCGUCUUCGACAAUCUCUCGCACAAGAGCUCCGGCAGCUCGCUCAACAUUCAGCGCAGCGGUCUCCAGCCACCGCCGUCGGCUGUUGCGGGAACCCCGAACUUUGCGCCGCGACAUCCGUCGCCCCUGCUGAACAAUGGAGUUGGCGUCAUCGCCGGAGCAGGCAGCGGCAGCGGGAAAGGUAAGCCAGCAGCGGUUUUGCCAGCUACGCUCGAUGAGGAUGCGCCCAUCGACGCGGAGAUGGAACAGCUUGAGCUCGAUUUCAGUGUCCGUGCCCGCGUGCCCAAUGCCAGCGGAAAUGGAAGUGGAAGUGGAAGCGGAAGCGGGAGUAGCACCCUGCCAGCUCCCUCGAAGCCACCGCGUAUUCCCGCAUCGCUGGCGGAUGAGCAGCCAGCUGCUGGGAGCCUGGAGCGUGAGAAGCCAAAGGAGAAGCCCAGCGACGCGGAUGAGUGGGCGUCCAAGUUGUAUGGCGGCGGCAAGUACCUGGAGAUCGGCAGCAGUGACUCGCUGAAGCGGCGCAGCUGGGAGGAUCGUGUGCCGCUGCCUGUGAGCGUUGAGGAGCCACCGACACCGCCAGUGGUGGCCACGUCAAGCUCCUCGUCCAGUUCCAGUUCGGACAGCGAUGACGACGACGACGACGAGCAUCCACCGCAGACAGCUCCACCGCCAGUGCCCGUGCCCGUGCCGGUGCCUGCUUCCAUUCCCCUCCCCACCGCCGAACCGCCGUCGGUGGCCAAGUCCUCGUCGCUCUUCUCGCCCGACGUGGAGCACCGCAACUUCGAUACGUUCAACGCCAGCUUCGCCAAGUUCGAGCAGCGCAACAGCACCGCCAUCUUUGCGGAUGAGCCCGAGCUGGAGGACCUGACCGCAGAGCUGGAGAAGCCAGUGCCCACGCCAACGGCCCGGCCGAAGCCGCAGCCUCGUGUUCUGGCGGAUCAGAGGGCCGAGGAGGAGAAGGCCAGGGCCAGGGAGGAGGCUGCGCGACAGCAGCGCGCCGAGGAGGAUGCCCGCCUGGAGGCGGAGCUGCGAUUGAACGAGGAGCGGCUGCGCGAGGAGGAGGCGGCCAUGCAGCGCGAACUGGAGGAGGAGGAGGAGAAGGAGCGCCAGAAGCAGCUGCAGCUGCAGCUGGACGAGCAGCAGCGACGCGAGGCCAAGCGGUGGGAGGAGGACCAACGGCUGCUGAGCUUCGCCAAGCGGUCCACUUCCCUUGAGGAACCGGUCGUCGAGAAGCUGGAACCCAAGCGUGAGGAAACGGCAGAGUUGGAAACGGCUGAGCCGGAGCACAACUUCCUAACGCCCGAGCAGUCGCCCAAGGAGUUCCAGACGAACGGCAGCGGAAGCGGUGAGCGCUGGGAGAAGCGGCUGGGCAAGUUCAAAUACGGCAACAAGCGAGAUAAAUACAACAACGAAAACGAGAGCAACUCGCCCAGUCCCAAGUCCACGGAACGCAUUAUUAUUGGUCACGAGAAGUCGGGAUCGCAUGCUGAGCGUCGCUCGGAGAUAUCCGCCCAGUUGGCCAAGAAAUACGAGGGAAAGUCCCGGGAGGAACUGAUGCUAAUUGCCAACGGAAUGGAGAACGAGGCUCUGCUGCAGCGACAGCGGGUGAAGGAGCUGGAGGAUUACCUGGACAACCUGCUGCUGCGCGUGAUGGAGACGCACCCGAAGAUCCUGCAGAAUCCCUAUUCGCGCACCACGUCCGCCAAGAGUUAUAAAAAUUACAUCAAUAUGAAUGACUUUCUAAAGUAAGUGCUGCGCAUGCUGCAAGUUGCAUUUAAGUAGACACUUAACCAACAAUCCCCAACAACAACAACAACAACAACAACUACGACAUCACCAACAACAACACCACAACCCCCAAACAACAACAACAACAACUAGAACCACUGCAAGACACGGUUAACGAGAACCGAAAGGCGACUCUGGCUGGAAAAGAGAUGGAACCACAAAGGCGGGAUCGAACGGUUGAACAGCCAAAGUGGGAACUGCCUUGUGUCGCGAGCUGGAGAGGAUUGGCGAAGCCCACGGGGUGCAGUCAUCGUAACACCAAUCGAACACCAAGUUGCCUUUGCCGUUGACAGCGAAAUUCAAGUGCUUUCUAAACCGUAAUGCUAAGAAGAGGGAAACUAAAUGUACACGUAACGCAGUUAGGCUUAAGGAGUGCGAAAUUUGAUUGUAAACCGAUAUUUACGCAGCAUUCGUUCUUUGUCGUUUGCUGCCCACUACUUACUAAACUAACGAACUAAAUUAAUUGUACUAUACUAAACUACUAUGUUGAGUCCAGCGGUCGCUAGACCAUCGAUUGCCUUGAUUCGAGUCCCUUGUCGAUUGAUUGAAAUUAUCCAAAAGUAUUUUGUUUAUUUUUUUUGUAUGUCAAUUUUUUUUGUAAUAUUGUGCAAAAAUAAGUUUGAGAAGUCUUUGUAAAGUGCCGCGAGGGAAGUGGCCUUAGUUGAUUAAGUUUUAAAUUAUUUAUGUUUUAGCCGUUAAGCAAAAGGGGGGAGGGGGGAUCAACCUAUGUCCCCCGCCAAACACCACACACAGUUGAUAUAUGUUGAUACUACAAUGAUUUUACUUAUUGAUAUACACGCAACCAGAAUAAAAACAUUUUUAAAUUAAUAA